CUCUUAUCAAGAGAGGCGGAGGGACUGGCCCGAUGAAACCCGGCAACCUGCGAAAGCGAGGUGCCAAUUCCAGCAGAAUCUUUGUGUUCUGAGAGAUGAGGG
rnacentral:ncRNA from 1 species